CAAUAGUGUAUCUUAACGUUGUUGCAGUUAAAAAGCUCGUAGUUGAAUUUCUGGGGGGAACUCUUGUCUUAUGACCUGAGGUCCACCUCAUCCGUGACGGAAAAUCUAGUACUUUUAUGUCUAGGUCAGAAGCACGUUUUACUUUGAAGAAAUUAGAGUGUUCCAGGCAGGCUUUGCUUGAAUACAUCAGCAUGGAAUAAUGGAAUAGGACAUGUCAUUUUUAUUGGUUAUAUGACUUGUAAUGAUUAACAGGGACAGUUGGGGGCAUUCGUAUUCAAUAGUCAGAGGUGAAAUUCUUGGAUUUGUUAAAGACGGACUACUGCGAAAGCAUUUACCAAGGAUGUUUUCAUUGA
rnacentral:rRNA from 1 species